AUAAUUAUUGUCUUACUUUAUUUAUUUUAUUUUAUUUUGAGAAAUAUCUUUGUAUUUAGUAUAUAAAAGAAAAAUAAUUUUUGUUAUAGUGAAUUAGUACUGUGAAGGAAUUGAUGAAAUAAUAUUAAAAUUUAAUUUAUAAAAAGUAUACUUAAAUUGUAGUACCUUUUGUAUCAGGGUUAAUUAAUUAAUUUAAUUUAUUUUUAUAUCUCGAUUUCAAAAGAGCUAAUUCAUUAAUUUAGUUAAUGUAUCAUAAUUAUUAAUAAUAUGAAUUAGUAAAGAAAUUUUAUUCGGUUUUGAAGGUAUCUAGUUUUUUAAGAAUUAAAUUUAAUUUAGUCUUAUUAUUUAAUAAUCACAUUUUUUUGGUUAUUAUUAUUUUAAGGUCAAAUUUAUAGGGGAUAAGCUCUAUAAUGUUCCUAUAAAAAUUUUCUUUAACUAAUUUUUGUAGGGUUAUAAAUAUCCAUCAUUAGUAAGUGUGUUAUAAUAUAUUUUAUGAUAAAUUUGAUUUUAUUUUUUUUAGAAUCUUAUUAAAAUAUUAAAAUUAAUUUUGAAUUUUAGGAAAUAAUGAUUAAAUUAGUAUAAUUAUUAGUUUUUAAUUUCUUUUAAGCUAGGAUAAAAUAAGGAACUCGGCAAAUAUAGUUCUCGCCUGUUUAUCAAAAACAUGUCCUUUUGAAUUUAAUUGAAGGUCUGACCUGCCCAGUGAUUAAUUUAACGGCCGCGGUAUACUGACCGUGCAAAGGUAGCAUAAUCAUUAGUCUUUUAAUAGAGGGCUGGAAUGAAAGGUUUAACGAGGAACUGGCUGUCUCAUUUUAUUUGUUUUAAAAUUUAAUUUUUUAGUCAAAAAGCUAAAAUAAUAUUGGUAGACGAGAAGACCCUAUAGAUCUUUAUGUAAAUAUUGAUAAUUAUUUUUAUAUUAAUAUUAUUAUUUAUUUUUACAUUUUGUUGGGGUGACAAAAAUAUAAAAUUAACUUUUCUAUUUACUUAACAUUGAUUUAUGAUUAUUAGAUCCAUUAUUAGUGAUUAUUAGACUAAGUUACCUUAGGGAUAACAGCGUAAUCCCCUCCCAGAGUUCGUAUUUACGAGGGGGCUUGCGACCUCGAUGUUGGAUUAAGAUGAUAGUUAGGUGUAGCCGCUUAAUUUAUAGGUCUGUUCGACCUUUAAACUCUUACA
rnacentral:rRNA from 1 species